UACGUAGGGGGCGAGCGUUGUCCGGAUUUAUUGGGCGUAAAGGGCGCGUAGGCGGUUCGUACAGUCAGACGUGAAAUUCCUGGGCUCAACCUGGGGGCUGCGUUUGAUACGUGCGGACUUGAGUGCGGAAGAGGGUCGUGGAAUUCCCAGUGUAGAGGUGAAAUUCGUAGAUAUUGGGAAGAACACCGGUGGCGAAGGCGGCGACCUGGUCCGAUACUGACGCUGAGGCGCGAAAGCGUGGGGAGCAAACAGG
rnacentral:rRNA from 1 species